AGGACGAACGCUGGCGGCGUGCUUAACACAUGCAAGUCGAGCGGAAAGGCCACUUCGGUGGUACUCGAGCGGCGAACGGGUGAGUAACACGUGAGUAAUCUGCCCUUCACUCUGGGAUAGCCCUCCGAAAGGGGGAUUAAUACCGGAUACGACCACAGACCGCAUGGUGUUGUGGUGGAAACUUUUUGGGUGGGGGAUGUGCUCGCGGCCUAUCAGCUUGUUGGUGGGGUAAUGGCCUACCAAGGCUUCGACGGGUAGCCGGCCUGAGAGGGUGACCGGCCACACUGGGACUGAGACACGGCCCAGACUCCUACGGGAGCAGCAGUGGGAAUAUUGACAAUGGCGAAGCUGAUCCAGCAACGCCGCGUGAGGGAUGACGCCUGGUGUAAC
rnacentral:rRNA from 1 species